rnacentral:rRNA from 1 species
GACAUAGGUGGCGAACGUUAUCCGGAUUUAUUGGGCGUAAAGGAUGCGUAGAUGGCAGGGUAAGUUAUCGGUCGAAAUCGGGCUCAACUCGAUGGAGGCUAAUAAUACUACUCUGCUGGAGGACAGGAGAGGUUAACGGAACUCUAUGAGUAGGGGUGAAAUCCAUUGAUCUAUAGGGGACCACCAAAAAAGGCGAAGGCAGUUAACUAUUCUGUUCCCGACAUUGAGGCAUGAAAGCGUGGGGAGCAAAACGG